rnacentral:rRNA from 1 species
UACGGAGGGUGCGAGCGUUGUCCGGAAUCACUGGGCGUAAAGGGCGCGUAGGCGGCCUGAUAAGUAGGGGUGAAAUCCUGCGGCUUAACCGCAGGGCUGCCUUCUAAACUGUCAGGCUAGAGCACAGUAGAGGCAGGUGGAAUUCCCGGUGUAGCGGUGGAAUGCGUAGAGAUCGGGAAGAACAUCAGUGGCGAAGGCGGCCUGCUGGGCUGUUGCUGACGCUGAGGCGCGGACAGCGUGGGGAGCAAACGA